rnacentral:rRNA from 1 species
CAGUCGCCGCGGUAAUACAGAGGGUGCGAGCGUUAAUCGGAUUUACUGGGCGUAAAGCGUGCGUAGGCGGCUUUUUAAGUCGGAUGUGUAAUCCCUGAGCUUAACUUAGGAAUUGCAUUCGAUACUGGGAAGCUAGAGUAUGGGAGAGGAUGGUAGAAUUCCAGGUGUAGCGGUGAAAUGCGUAGAGAUCUGGAGGAAUACCGAUGGCGAAGGCAGCCAUCUGGCCUAAUACUGACGCUGAGGUACGAAAGCAUGGGGAGCAAACAGGAUUAGAUACCCGUGUAGUCCCUGUCUCUUAUAA